AUGUAAAACACUCCUGAGCUUGGAAAGAAUAAUAGGUGUGUAAUUUGGGUCUCUCCACUCACAGGGGUUUUUCUGUCACUUUCUCCGCCAAGAGAGUGAAAUGGAAGUGGCCUUUUCCCCUCUUGUUUUUGCCAUCUUAAGCUGGAAAUUGCGUAUGGUGUGGUCUGAAUAUAAUAGGAUGUUAGGUACUUUCCUGAGUUUGCCUCAAACAUGACCGCCAACAGUGCCUUCUCUCAUGAGGUACUUAAUCCAGGUACCAUUCAUUCAGAUCCUUCAGAAGUGAUUUCUUAAUGAGAUUUAAAGUUAUUGUGAAUGAGGAUUUAGAGCAUGUUCAACAAUUUUCAUUGCAGUCUCACUUAGUAGAGGAAUCUGCUUCCCGUACUCUUUCUUUUUAUAUGUAUCUCUAGGUAAUGGUACUUCAAGGGAACUAGGUCAAUAGCAGUGUAACUCAAACUUGACUGACCCAUGCAAACUGCUUGUUAUUUUAAUGUGAGAUGCUUUUCUGGUCUUUAUCCAACUUAGAGCCGAUUCAGUGUCCCAUUUUUAAAGAAUCUCUAGAGAGGAGGAUUCCAUGGCUUCUCUUGAGGUUUCACUGUAGAGUUUCACACUCUCAAACAUUAGGAAGGUAUUCCUAGUACUUUAUACCCAAAUUGCUCAUGUGGCUCUUUAAGACUCUCAGCUGGUCCUCAGCGGAGAUGGAAAACAGCUGCUCACCACCACCUGUGCUUGGAACUCUUCCACGCUUUGGAAGCCCAUUAAAUCAUGUCUCAGCUUGUGAAAUGAAGGCUCACAAAAAGGGUUUUUUUUGACCAGAGUUGGGGAUUAAAUCAGCUAAAUGUUUGGAAUUUUUUGGUAGCUAUGAUGACCAGACAUUCUGCAUUGCAAUAACAAUAGAUAUGUAUUUAUUGAGUACUUAUGUAAUAGGAGUGGAGCAAGCAUGCAGCCGUUAGUCUGUAAUUCUUAUCAGGAGACCUUGAGCGUGGCCAACAGUCAGUGUCCCAGUGGUCCUUGUGGCAGAGAGUGCAGAUUAAGGCCUUCUCCCUGGGGCCCUCUAGGCCCCCCAGCCUCCGGGCCAGUGGAUGAGCUGGGCAGCCUGGGGACAGGCUGAGGGCUGGAUCCUGAAGAGCUCCAGAGUCCUCACCGUAGCUGGGCACAGGCCUGGAAGCAGCAGCGAACCUUUUCCGCAAACCCACAGUCCAUGGAGGCCUCAGCAACUGGAGUGUACGGACAUGGCCUUUAAGGAUCCUGAGGCUGAAACAGACCGACUAUUGCAGUGGAACUCUCUUAGGGAAGGGUCCAAGCUGCUUCUCCUUGAAGACAACAACAUACCAGCCCCAACCUCACAGAUGGUGUUAGUCAUCCUGAUAAUGCACCUCAGUUAAUAUUCAAGUCGGGAUCCAGCUACACUUACUUGCUUUGUGCAACAGUCUUUUUUUGGAAGUGUUGGCUGCUCACAGUUCUACAUACGUUGGAGAGAUCAGAGAUUCUGUCGACCUGGUUCCCAGCCCUGGCCCUAUGACUGAUGGAUGACAAGUGUACCAGUGAGAACUGAAACUUGCAGCACCUGGAUCCCUGUCGCUAAGAGGGAAGAACAGUACUGACCUACCUCAUGCAAUGAAGUGUCAUAUGCAUUAACUGUCUAAUGAUGCUAAAGCUCUCUGAGCAUGUAAACGUGGAACAUUAUCAUUAUGGUUAAUACUAGUCUCCAGGUUGUAAGUUUUUUCUUUCCUCAAAGAGAAGCAGAAAGAUUAUUUAAAGAAAUACUGAAUAGAAGGCUACAGUUUGUUCUUAAGUCAUGAUUGACUUUGAUCAGAAUGGUGUAAACAGUGCGUAUGCGGUCUUGAAGUCCUCAAGAUAAUUAUUUCUACUUCAGGGCAUGAAGACUUCUCUUUCUCCUCCUCCCAUCAAGGGAAAAAGAAAGAAAGAAAAAACUUGGAAAGCUAAUGCUCUUAAAAUACAAGACGAUUUGUCAGGUCUGGAAAUAGUGUUUCCUAAAACCCUUGCUACAAGAGAGGCCCAACUGAGUAGACAGAGCUGGACUCAGUCUUAAACAUCUUGCUAUGGAAAGACCCAGAAGCAGGAGAGGUUGCAAUGAGUUUUUAAAGCCCCUCCAGUUAUUUUUUAAUUCUAGAAUUUCAAGAGAGAAAGGAUUCUUGGAGAUCCAAUAUCCUUGUCCAGUGCCCUUUCCACUUGCACUGGUGAAUCCCCAGUGGUAUGUCUCCAACCGGUGUUGUAACAAGUUGCCACACACUUAAUGGCUUAAACCAACAUGAAUUUAUUAUCUUGCAGUUCUGGAGCUUGCAAGUCUGAAAAGAGUCUUAGGGACUAAACUUAAGGCAUUAGCAGGGCUGGUUCCUUCUGGAGGAUCCGGGGGAGACUCUUCCUUGCCUCUCUCAGCUCUGGUGGCUGCCCACAUUUCUUGACUUGUGGCCACAUCACAACAAUGUCCACUUCCAUCAUCACAUGGCCUUCUCCUCUUCUCUAGCGGUAAUCUCCCUCUUCCUCCCUCUUAUGAUGGGCCUUUUGAUUACACUGGACCUGCUUGGAUAAUCCAGGAUAAUCUCUCCGUCUCGAGAUCCAGGCCAAGGGAACAGCGAGUGUCAAGGUCUCGAGGUACAGCAUGCUUGAUGUGUAAUAACAGCCAUGAGGCCAGCAUGCUGUAGGUGAUGGAAGGGGAGGGAGUGGAAGGAGAAGAGCUCCCUGAAGCAGAGAGGCAGAUCUCAUAGGAUGUAGGGUCAAGGUAAGGACUUUGGUCUUUAAGUGAGAGGGAGACUGUGGUUGGGUUUUGAGCAGAGCAGUGACUGACAUGAUCUUUACAUUUUUCAGGGAUCACUCUGGCUUCUGGGAGAGACAGGAGGCUCUUGGAAUAAUCUAGGCAAUAGGUCAUGGUGGUUGGAUCAGGUGGUGGGAAGUGCUGAAAUUCUGGAUAUAUUCUCAAGGUCGAGCUGUUAGAAUUUUCUGGGGGAUUGGCUGUGGGGCGUGAGUGAAAUACAGAAGUAAAAGUUGACUCAUAGGUUUUUGGUUUUAGCAGCGGAAAAAUGGGGAAAACUGCAGGAAGAGAGAGAUAUCGGGAGAAGAUGGAGAGCGUGGUUUGGACAUGUUAGGAUCUGAGAAUUACAAGUGGAGAUGUGCCAAGCCAUGCAGCUGGAGUUGCUAAUCUAGAGUUCAGGGGAGAGGCAGGAGAAGUCUUCAGGAAAUAAAUAUCAAAACCUACAAUGUCUGCUUACUUGUUAAAGGACAAAGGCCAAGCCCUUUAAUAUGACAUUUAAGGUUUUUUAUGGGUUGAUCUCAGCCUCAUCUCUCACUGAGCUCCUAUACCCAAGGCUUCAGUGACUGAUAUUUUUCAAAACUCCUUGCCCUUUCCAGCUUCAUAGUCUCUGGCUCGUGUUGUUCCUUUGACCUGGAAAAAGCACCCCUCCCUUGCUAUCAGAAUCCUGUUCAUCCUUCAAGUCCUGUGAGUCUCUUCUGCUCGCUUUAGUUGAAAUCCAUCACGCCCUCCUCUGUGCUCCCAAGUAGACAGAUGGUGCAUUCUCCCUGAUAUCUGACUACUUUUGUUUGUCUGUAUCCCCACUAGAUUGUGAGUUCCUUGAGGGUAGGGAAGGACCAUGGUUCAUUGGUCCUUAUAUCUCUAAGAUGUCUCCAAGAUGGAAACAGACAGGGGUGAGAUUCUGAAAAUCGGAACCCUCAGUCCGUCAGUUUACCGUUGCUGGUUUUGGGGUAGACAUGCCCGGAGGACAUGGCCAGACAAGAGUAGACUAUUGAUGAUCACACGGUGUUGGUUGAAACCCCCACAUGGAACCCAUAGACCAGGGAGCUGGCUUCACUCCGUGUGAGUCACACUUUCUUCUUGGUCUCCUGAAGAGCGCAAGGACGAGACUAAAAACUGGCUUCCUUGGUCCCUUUCUUAUACCCAAGCCUCGACCCCUGUGUGAAAGCAGGAGGGCAUGGACAACUGAGUCUAACAGGGAGAUGGUCCAGGGGAAUACAGCCUAGAGCAGAGCUGGCCUAAGUUAACCCCUGAGGCACUGGGAGAUGGCACGGGGCGUAGGAAGCCAAAGGCUUAGCUUCUCUAACUAACCAAAUAGAGGAACACAAUCUGGAAAUUAAAUGAGGGGCCCGAUAGGAGAGCAGAGAGCAGGGCAGGGAUGUUAACAGCCUUUGACUUUUUAAAAACAAUUGAUAUUUUCUCUAUGGCUAUGCUGGGUCUUGUUGCUGUGUUGGCUUUUCUCUAGGCGUGGUGCAUGGGCUUCUCACUGUGGCGGCUUCUCUUGUGCAACGUGGGCUCUAGGGUGCUUGGGCUUCACUAGUUGUGGCUCCUGGGCUCUAGAGCACAGGUUCUGUAGUUGUGGUACACAGGCCUAGUUGUUCCUCACUGUGUGGGAUCUUCUUGGAUCAGGAAUCAAGCCUGUGUCUCCUGAGCUGGUAGGUGGAUUCUUUACCGCUGAGCCGCCAGGGAAGCCUUGACUUGUCGAUUGCACGGCUGUCCCACCCCACGUCACGGCCCGGCAGUGCUCACUGUGGCGGCUUCUCUUGCUGUGCAACAUGGGCUAUAGGGUGCGUGGGCUUCACUGGUUGUGGCUCCCACUCUAGUGCACCUCCUCCUUGGCAGUGAGCUGCCAGGGGAGGAAAGCCUGAGGCCCACCUCCAGAUGGAGCCCGUCCCCACAUCUGGCCCUGAUUUUCACCAAGAAGGUGUUGAAUAAGGUUUCACUGAACUUGCUGAAUUGGAUAAAUCCUCAGGAAUGCACAUGAAUCCCUAAUGUAAAGACUUAAGGGUUACUUUGUGUCAGUGAUAGCAAGUGACAUAAACAUCUAAGAUUUUCCUGGAAUC
ensembl:lncRNA